CAACGUCAGCGCUGCCAGCGUGUGCGCCGUCAUUUCCGGCCAGCUGUUUGGGGCUGCAUGCAGAGGAGAGGCGGCGGACCGUGCCUAAGGACUGGGCGACUGGGCGACCCCAGGCUGUCAGAUUGACUUCCAGAGCCUCAACCCAGUGGGAGCUUAGCUGGCAGCCAGGCGGUUCCACUCUAGCGAGCUCCGAGGGUCUUGCCGCGUCACCCUGGCUGGCCUUGUACUCACCGUGUAAACCACGUACGCCUCGAAUCCCAGCAGUCUGCCCGCCUGGCCUCAUGAGGAUGGAGAUUUCCGACUUGGAUCGCCACGUCCUUUACUUUUAUGUGCGUGGGUGUUUUGCCUGCUCGUACGUCUGUGCACCACUUGCGUGCAGUGCCUGCAGAGUCCAGAAGACUGUGCUGGACUGCAGUUACAGACGGUUGUAAGCCAUUAUGUGAGUGCUGGGAAUUGAACCUGGAUCCUCUGGAAGAGCAGUCCGUGCUCUUUACCACGGAGCCACCUCUCCAGCCCCUACUUUAUUUUCUUAAGCUAUGUCUUCAAAGAAAUGUCGUCAGAAAAA